rnacentral:misc_RNA from 1 species
UCCCAGUUACCCGGGCAGUCUCGUGUGAAAAUAUAACACACGACAAGGGUUUCGCUCGUUGCGGGACUUAACCCAACAUCUCACGACACGAGCUUACGACGGCCAUGCAGCACCUGUCACUGCGCUCCCGAAGGCACUCUCACCUUUCGGCAAGAUUCGCAGGAUGUCAAGCCUCGGUAAGGUUUUUCGCUUAGCAUCGAAUUAAACCACAUACUCCACUGCUUGUGCGGCUCCCCGUCAAUUCCUUUGAGUUUUAAACUUGCGUUCGUACUCCCCAGGCGGGAUGCUUAUCGCGUUAGCUUCUUGGCACAAAGGGUCGAGACCCCAUACCAAUAGCAUCCAUCGUUUACGGCGUGGACUAC